GCAACUCGCCUACAUGAAGUUGGAAUCGCUAGUAAUCGCGAAUCAGAAUGUCGCGGUGAAUACGUUCCCGGGUCUCGUACACACCGCCCGUCACACCACGAGAGUUUACAACACCCGAAGUCAGUGGCCUAACCGCAAGGAGGGAGCUGCCUAAGGUGGGGUAGAUGAUUGGGGUGAAGUCGUAACAAGGUACC
rnacentral:rRNA from 1 species